rnacentral:misc_RNA from 1 species
AUGGGAACGUGUAUGGAGCUCCUUCCAAUGAGAAAAGAUGCCAUGAAAUUGUUGAUGUUCAGUCCAGUACAGGUCAUAUGAUUCAAGACUCAAGUAGAAGCGAUUGCAACCAUAGUAUGCAAUCUCACAGUCAGAGGCAUUCAGGGCAGUCUUGUGGACAGAACUGGGAACCUUCAAACAAUAAUAGAAGUUCAGUUAACAUCAAUUCUGGAUCUAGUUUUGCUUCAGUUGCCAAGUCAAGUGAUCCAUCUCAACAGAAAGGUAUCACGAGUUAUCCAGAUCUGCCCAGUCCAACCCCCAAAACAAGCUAUGACGAUGUUGAUGCUCAGGCUGCUGAAGAGCUACUUUCUUUGAGUUUGGUUGUUCCAGUUAGUGCUUCAAAUAUCCAAGAUUUGCCAAGUUCUACACCAGAAUUGGAAGAAGAAGCUCCAGUUGGGCAGGCUGCAGCAAACAAAGAUUCUUUAACUUCUAGUUUUCCUGUUCAGGAUUCAGGUCCUAGUUGGAGCAGUGCUUCUAGUCUGGUGAUCGAUGGGGCCCAACUUCCUGAAAUAGCUAAUGGAUUGGGUGGACCAGCUGUGAAACCAUCUAUAGGCUCUGAUCUUAUCUCUGAUUCUGCACUGAAACCUGCUGAAGCAGUAGGUGAUCAUGUUGACACACCUACAUCAGAUGUCAACC